AUACGAUAAUUGUUUUAUUUGUUCUCCUGCUCUCUCCUGCUUUAUGAAUUCGCUGUGGCUCAACCCGCUCAAACGAAAAUCGGUAAAAUCCAGCCAUUGCGAAACACCAACUGCAGCAAGAAUUAAUGUGACCAAAACAAUUAUAG